UACAGAGGUCUCAAGCGUUGUUCGGAUUCAUUGGGCGUAAAGGGUGCGUAGGUGGCGUGGUAAGUCGGGUGUGAAAUUUCGGAGCUUAACUCCGAAACUGCAUUUGAUACUGUGGUGCUUGAGGACUGGAGAGGAGACUGGAAUUUACGGUGUAGCAGUGAAAUGCGUAGAUAUCGUAAGGAAGACCAGUGGCGAAGGCGGAUCUCUGGACAGUUACUGACACUGAGGCACGAAGGCCAGGGGAGCAAACGGG
rnacentral:rRNA from 1 species